UACGAAGGGGGCUAGCGUUGUUCGGAAUUACUGGGCGUAAAGCGUAGGUAGGCGGUCUUUCAAGUCAGGGGUGAAAUCCCAGAGCUCAACUCUGGAAUUGCCUUUGAAACUGAAAGGCUAGAGAAAGUUAGAGGCAAGUGGAAUUCCUAGUGUAGGAGUGAAAUCCGUAGAUAUUAGGAGGAACAUCAAUGGCGAAGGCAGCUUGCUGGGACUUUUCUGACGCUGAGCUACGAAAGCGUGGGUAGCAAACAGG
rnacentral:rRNA from 1 species